rnacentral:lncRNA from 1 species
CUUCCCUCCCACCUCCCAGGUGGUUCAACAAUUCCACUUCCAAACAGCAUUUCCCAUCAGUUUUUAAAAGCUAUUUACAAAGUGUUAUUCUACUACCACUUUUAAAUACAUCAAGCACUUCCAAAUAUCUAGAAAGACUAGAUAUUUCAUAUAACUUGUCCACCACAUACACAGCACUGUUAAAUAAAAUUGCACAAACAUAACAAUGGUUAUCAUCUGAGGUAUCCUCUAAAUGUGGCCAUUUUGGCCUUGAAUCAUUCCCUCCUCCCUUCCUUCUCUGCCUUCAAUCCAGUGGACAAGUACAGGCACAUGUAAUGCUUAGAGAUGGUUGAACAAAUUCCUAUGCAAAAGUCAUUUACAGAAGACAAGUUUUCGUAUGAAUUUCAACACAAAGAGUACAAAAUAUGCUAAUUUUACUACAUUGUCAUACACUGGCAACCUCUUUAACAUCUAGAGACUAGAUGUUGAAAAAUUAGGACUAUUUGUCCAUUAUAUACACUAUAUACAGAGCAAAACAAAAUGCACAAAACAUAUAGAAAAAUGGUGUCUGAAAACGUCCAAGUAUGAACACACUAGUAUAUUACCUUUUGCAAUUUCUUCCCUCCCACUUCCUCUAAACCAUUGAACAAGUAUAGGCAUUACUAUACUGCUCACAAAGGUGGCUUCACAAUUCAAUUUCCAAAAGUAUUUCCUAUGAAUUUUAGCAAAAAGAUAUUUACAAAGUGGUAUUUUACUACCUCUACAUUUAACAUACAUUGGGCACUUCUAAACAUCUAGAUAGACUCGAUGUUUCAAGUAAGGAGUUAAUUUGUCUACUAUGUAUACAGCAGUCUUGAAUAAACUGCAAACAUGUAACAACAGUUAUAAUUUGAAAGAGUCUUCCAAAUGUGAACAUUCUGGCCUAGAACCCUUCCCAUCUCCAUCAACCCAGAAUACAUCAAAUUUUCAGAAGACAAUCUUUCCUAGGACUUGUAAAACAAAAUGUACAAAAUAUAUUAGUUUACUAACUCUACUUUUGUCAUACACUGGCAACCUCUUUAACAUCCAGAAAGACUAGAUGUUGUCAAUUAGGGUUCGUCUGUCCUUUAUGUACACUAUAUACACAGAUAAGUAAAACAAAAUGCACAGAGAUAAUGAUUCAUCUUGCCUCGCUGUAAACAGGAUGUCAUAGAGCUCUCUGCACCUCCCCCUCCUCUCUCUUCCCCUGAACCACUGCACAAACACAAUGAGCAUUACUCAACAGGUGAUUUGGCCAUUCCCUCCAAAAAACAUUUCCUAUGAUUUGUAACAAAAAGGUCUUCCACCUCCAUGUCAUCUAACCCACUUAACAAACGUGGACGUAUCGCUUCCAGAGGCUGUCUUAACAACUCCAUUUCUAAAAGUCAUCUCCAGAAGACAUGUGUUUUCUAUGAUUUCUUUUAAACAAAUGAGAAUUUACAAGAUGUGUGACUUUCUAACUCUAUUUUAUCAUAUGUCGGCAACCUCUUUCCAUCUAGAAGGGCUAGAUGUGACAAAUGUUUUCUAUUAAAAGGUUGGGGUGAAGUUGAGAGCAGCUUUUUCAUAUUAUAUACACAGGCCUUACAUAAACGGCCAGUAAAUCUUCCCAGAGGGUGGUGGGCAUUUCCAACGGGCCAAACGUGGCCUGUCAUUCUACCAUUUCUCUCUUCUGACAGCAAAGUCUGGUAGAACAAAGACCAACCGCCCGAUGGCCGCUAACCGUUCCACCCGUCGUCGUUCGGGACUUCGCUCACCUUCCAGGCCCCUUAAGGCCUUUGUCCGUUGUCGUCAGGACUAGGUAGGUCUCGCCCAAUGGCGACAGAGUGGUCACCCGGGAACCGGAUCUGCGCAGCUCCGUGGCCUAAAGAGGCGGCCGAGCCUGCUUGCGUCCCUAGGCCGCCUUCCCGGGCCCUCCACGCCUUAAUGGCCUCCGCCGCGCGGCGUUCAAG